rnacentral:rRNA from 1 species
AUUGAACGCUGGCGGCAGGCCUAACACAUGCAAGUCGAGCGGAGCGGCGGACGGGUGAGUAAUGCCUAGGUAGCUGCCUGGUCGUGGGGGAUAACGUCCGGAAACGGGCGCUAAUACCGCAUACUAUCAGACGAGCCUAGGGGGGAUUAGCUAGCUGGUGGGGUAAAGGCCUACCAAGGCGACGAUCCGUAACUGGUCUGACAGGAUGAUCAGUCACACUGGAACUGAGACACGGUCCAUACUCCUACGGGAGGCAGCAGUGGGGAAUAGUGGACAAUGGGCGAAAGCCUGAUCCAGCCAUGCCGCGUGUGUGAAGAAGGUCUUCGGAUUGUAAAGCACUUUAAGUUGGGAGGCGUUACCAACAGAAUAAGCACCGGCUAACUACGUGCCAGCAGCCGCGGUAAUAC